UACGUAGGGGGGCAAGCGUUGUCCGGAUUUAUUGGGCGUAAAGAGCGUGUAGGCGGCCAUACAGGUCAGCUGUGAAAACUCGAGGCUCAACCUCGAGACGUCGGUUGAAACCGUAUGGCUAGAGUCCGGAAGAGGAGAGUGGAAUUCCCGGUGUAGCGGUGAAAUGCGCAGAUAUCAGGAGGAACACCGAUGGCGAAGGCAGAUCUCUGGGCCGUAACUGACGCUGAGGAAGCGGAAAGCAUGGGGAGCGAACAGG
rnacentral:rRNA from 1 species